rnacentral:rRNA from 1 species
UACGGAGGAUGCAAGCGUUAUCCGGAUUUAUUGGGUUUAAAGGGUGCGUAGGCGGGAAAAUAAGUCAGUGGUGAAAUCCUACAGCUUAACUGUAGAAUUGCCGUUGAUACUGUUUUUCUUGAGUAUGGUCAAGGAAGGCGGAAUGUGUAAUGUAGCGGUGAAAUGCUUAGAUAUUACACAGAACACCAAUUGCGAAGGCAGCUUUCUGGCCCAUUACUGACGCUGAGGCACGAAAGCGUGGGGAUCGAACAGGAUUAGAUACCCGGGUAGU